CCUACGGGUGGCAGCAGUGAGGAAUAUUGGUCAAUGGGCGCGAGCCUGCACCAGCCAAGUAGCGUGAAGGCUGAAUGCCCUACAGGUUGUAAACUUCUUUUAUAAAGGAAUAAAGUGAGGCACGUGUGCCUUUUUGUAUGUACUUUAUGAAUAAGGAUAGGCUAACUCCGUGCCAGCAUCCGCGGUAAUACGGAGGAUCCGAGCUUUAUCCGGAUUUAUUGGGUUUAAAGGGAGCGGAGAUGGGUUGUUAGGUCAGUUGUGAAAGUUUGCGGCUCAACCGUAAAAUUGAAAGUGAUACUGGCAGUCUUGAGUACAGUUGAGGUAGGCGGAAUUCGUGGUGUAGCGGUGGAAUGCGUAGAUAUUAGGAGGACCACCAGUGGCGAAGGCGAUUUGCUGGACUGUAACUGACACUGAGGCACGAAAGCGUGGGGAGCAAACAGGAUUAGAUACCCUUGUAGUC
rnacentral:rRNA from 1 species